CGUGCAGGCGGUUCUGUAAGUCGGACGUGAAAGCUCCUGGCUUAACUGGGAGAGGUCGUUCGAUACUGCAGGACUUGAGGUCGGGAGAGGGACGUGGAAUUCCCGGUGUAGUGGUGGAAUGCGUAGAGAUCGGGAGGAACACCAGUGGCGAAGGCGGCGUCCUGGCCCGCACCUGACGCUGAGACGCGAAAGCGUGGGUAGCGAACG
rnacentral:rRNA from 1 species